rnacentral:rRNA from 1 species
CAGUAGCCACGGUAAUACGGAGGGUGCAAGCGUUAAUCGGAAUUACUGGGCGUAAAGCGCACGCAGGCGGUUUGUUAAGUCAGAUGUGAAAUCCCCGAGCUUAACUUGGGAACUGCAUUUGAAACUGGCAAGCUAGAGUCUUGUAGAGGGGGGUAGAAUUCCAGGUGUAGCGGUGAAAUGCGUAGAGAUCUGGAGGAAUACCGGUGGCGAAGGCGGCCCCCUGGACAAAGACUGACGCUCAGGUGCGAAAGCGUGGGGAGCAAACAGGAUUAGAGACCCGCGUAGUCCCUGUCUCUUAUAC